AAUAGAUACCCCGGUAGUCCACGCCGUAAACGUUGGAUACUAGGUGUGGCGGUUAUACCAAUGACUGCCGUGCCGAAGCUAACGCAUUAAGUAUCCCGCCUGGAGAGUACGGCCGCAAGGCUAAAACUCAAAGGAAUUGACGGGUCCCCGCACAAGCGGCGGAGCAUGCGGCUUAAUUCGAUGCAACCCGAAGAACCUUACCUGGGUUUGACAUCACGGGAAAAGCUGUAGAAAUACAGUGUCCAUUAGGGCCCGUGACAGGUGGUGCAUGGCUGUCGUCAGCUCGUGUCGUGAGAUGUUGGGUUAAGUCCCGCAACGAGCGCAACCCUUGUCCUAUGUUGCCAGCGGUUCGGCCGGGGACUCAUAGGAGACUGCCGGGGAUAACUCGGAGGAAGGUGAGGACGACGUCAAGUCAUCAUGCCCCUUAUAUCCAGGGCUGCACGCAUGCUACAAUGGCCGGUACAACGGGCAGCGACCCCGCGAGGGUGAGCGAAUCCUAAAAAGCCGGUCCUAGUUCGGAUUGAAGUCUGCAACUCGACUU
rnacentral:rRNA from 1 species